ACCCGCAAACCUGCAGCCUCGUAACCUAGCAACGGUCUCCGCCGCCACCAUCGACGUCUCCGCCUCACCGCAAUCCCAUCCCUCCGCUUCUCCUUUGCUUCCGCAAUCCCAUCCCCCCUCCCCCGCGCAGAUCGUCAGCACUUACGGCGACUUCCGAAUCUGAAAGAAGCACGCUGCCAUCAAAGAAGAAGUAGCCGCAGCACAAGGGCAACGCGGCGACGUCGGAUGCGGAGGGCGACUUGUCCACGAGCACGAGCGGCGGGAGCGACAAGAGCAGCGUGGUGCAGUUGUGCAGGGCUUCACCCCGUCGACCCCACCGGCAACCGCCAACAGCUUCCGCUCCGGUCGCUGUUCGGCAGCCUCAUGGUGGAGUUGGCAGAUGGAGGUAACUGGGCAGAUGGCACUCCUCCGUGGUGGAUGAGGAAGACGGGGAUUCCAAUCAGGCGCCUUUCUUUGAUGAAUUGGAGCCUGCAGGUCGACCGGAUGACACUUCUCAGCAAACUCGAUCUCAGUAUCUCACCAAGAAGUGCGACGUCGCGGCUAGAGCGGCACGCGCCCACGACGACAACAUUGCUGCGGCAGUUGCAUCUUUGUUUCUCUUUGCUUUUCGAAUUUGUAAAUUGAAACCAGUCUGUAACUUGGCCAUGAAGGCCCGAACCUGAAGGCUAUUGCAGUUAAGCUUGGAGAUCGUUUGGAUCUUCAGGCGCUUCCCUGUAA